CGUAUAGCCCAGCUGGAUAGAGCGUUUGGCUACGAACCAAAAGGUCGGGGGUUCGAAUCCCUCUACG
rnacentral:tRNA from 1 species